UUGAGUUUGAUGAUGGCUCUGAAUGAACGCUGUCCAAAUGCUUGACACAUGCUAAUCGAACGUCAUCUUUUUUAAGAUGAAGUGGUGUACAGGUGAGUAAUGGGUGAAUCAAUAACCUUAAAGUAAGGACUAAGAUACCUUAUAUUAACAAAGAACUAAUUCGCUUUAAGACUUUGUUUGCAUCCCGGAUUGCUAUAGUUAAAGUAAUUUCUUAACUAGCUUACAUACGAUCCGUAGUCGUGACUGGGAGGUUUAUCGACCACAGUGUGGCCUGAACAAAGCCCACGGUUAACUACAGCAGUGAGGAAUCUUGGUCAAUAGCCUAACGGCUGAACCAGCAACUUGGAGGAAUGUAUAUCGACUCUGUCGAAUAAAGUUCUAGUUAAGUUAUGAUAAUGACAUUUCUUAACUAUGUGUCUUGACCAAAUCACGUGCCAGCAGUCGCGGUAAUACGUGGAAGACUAGUGUUAUUCAUCUUUAACAGGUUUAAAGGGUACCUAGACGGUAAAUCAAGCCCCGAAAGGGUACUAAUUUACUAGAGUUUAAUAAGAGAGGGGGAGUACUGAUGAGUGGAGAGAUGAAAUUUAAUGAUACCAUUAGGAACAGACAAGGGCGAAAGCGACCUUUUACAUAAAAACUGACGUUGAGGGACGAAGGCUUUAGUCGUGAACAGGAUUAGAUACCCAAGUAAUUAAAGCAGACAAUGAUGAAUGUCAUAGAUUAGUAACCCAUUAUUAUUAUUAAUUAUUAAUCUAAAAAAAAUGAAAUCAAGGAAAUGAAAGUAAUAGAUUAGUAGGCUAUUUUUAUUAAUCUAUAAAUUAAAGUAAUAGAUUAGAUUAGGCCAUUAUGAUUAAUCUAUAAAUGAAAGUGUAAGCAUUCCACCUCAAGAGUAAUGUGGCAACGCAGAAACUGAAAUCAUUAGACCGUUUCUGAAACCAGUAGUGAAGUAUGUUGUUUAAUUAGAUAAUCCGCAAAAGACCUCACCACAAUUUGUAUAUUAUUAUUUUUUAAUAAUACAAGCGUUGCACGGCUGUCUUCAGUUAAUGUCGUGAGAUUAGGUUAGUUCCAUUAAAUUAACGUAAACCCUUGCUUUAUUUAUAUUAUAUAUAAAGUAGAUCACCGCUAUAUUGGAUAUGAUAACAGGGACUAAGACAAGUCAUCAUGGCCUGAAUAUUGUGGGCGAUAGACGUGCCACAUAAUCGGAGACAAAGGGAUGCGAAAUUGUGAAAUAUAGCUAAUCCCACAAAAUCCGACAAAAUAUGGAUUAUAGUCUGUAAUUCGACUGUAUGAAAAAGGAAUUACUAGUAAUCGUGAAUAAGAACGUCACGGUGGAUUUUAUCUCAGAUAGGUACUAACUACUCGUCAGGCGCUGGAUGGGGUUCGUGCAAUAAGUUUGGUUGUAAUAUGCUUUUAAUUUAGAUAAUAAGUUUUAAAAAUGUAUAGAAACGAUCUUCGUAUGCGUGUCUUCUACUGGUGUUAAGUCGAAAUAUGGUUCGUGUAGUGGAAGUUGCACGGGAUUAAUUAAAAUUU
rnacentral:rRNA from 1 species